rnacentral:piRNA from 1 species
UUGCUGGUCCAGUCGGGCGUGCGCAAG